rnacentral:lncRNA from 1 species
CCCGGCGAGUCAUCGCCGGAAAUCCAUCUCUCUCUCCCUCGCAUACAUCGGUAACCACCCAAACACUCACCUCUCAAUCUCUCUCGAAUCUCCUCCGGCGAAGAACCGUCGGUCAGUCACCUCCCUCAACGUUUCACUACAGCGCCGUUGUUCCUGCUGCUCCGGCGACUCACGACGAGGCCACCGCCGAUUGCUGCUGUUUGUGGAAGCGCCGCCGACUGCUGCUGUUCGUGGAGUCCGCCGCCGACUGCUGCUGUUCUGAAGUUGGCCGCCGACUGCUGCUGUUCUGGUAUCGCGGGCUGCUGUUGCAGAGCUCCGACAGCCACCACCGUCGUCGGCUGCCGCUGCCUCGCCCAAGGCCGACUUCUGCUACCAAGCACCGAACGCCGCUGCUGUAGGGAGGCCGGCGAACAGUCGGGUGUUCGCCGUUUCCAGUUCUUCUCCGAGUUCCGAAGCCGGUGAGAGCUCCAUCAUCGCGUCGUCUCGUUCGUCUCUCGGCCCAACUGAACAGGUCGUGGAGCAACAAGGCGAGCUUCUCGCCUGAACCCACCGCCAAGCACCGAGUCGCUGCUGCUCGUCGUCUCUCGAUCAGCCUGAACAGGCCGCGUCCCUUCUUCCUAAAGCUAAGUUAUAUCCUUGACUCGUCUUCUUCCUACCAUGUAUGAGUAUCGAUAAGCUUAAGCUUCUAUGAGUAAGAAAGAAUCAGGGUUUAACACUCUGUCAGUGAGCAUGCUAUCGCUAUCCUUGUUCGUUCAUUCAUGUGCUAUGUGUGAGGUCCUCAUGGUUUGUGUUCUAGAGUGCAGUGGCAGUAUACACAUAAGUCUUUCUAUUGCUAUACAUAACAUGGACUGUUUGAUGUAGUGGUAAAACAUGAUUAUGCUCGUUGGUAUGAAUGCGAACUCGAUUGGAUAACUGAGGUAGUAUAAAUACCUUGAAUGAUGCUUGCUUUGGUGUUUGUUGGCUGUUGUGGUUGGAUUAAAUGAAGCAGCAGAUCGAACUGAAAUAAUAAAGUUGUUCUUGCAUUAAUGCAGGUGGAAUAAGGGAAGAAGGUGGAGCAUUGAAGACAAGCUUACCUUGAGAAUACUUGGUAGGAUGAAUUAAAGGCUCACUUCUCCUUGUGCAGUCCUCAAAUGAAGAAUGAAGAGAAUGCAACAAUGUUGGCUGUUUUGAAUGACGAGGUGGUUUGGCUGGGAGCUUGUAUACAUGGGAGGAGGUACAUUCUAGGGUGGCUGAUUGACAUAUUUAGGUGUACUUGGGUAUGGCAGCCUGCUGCAUAGGCGUGGGAAAAGAAAG